UACGAAGGGGGCUAGCGUUGCUCGGAAUCACUGGGCGUAAAGGGUGCGUAGGCGGGUCUUUAAGUCAGGGGUGAAAUCCUGGAGCUCAACCCCAGAACUGCCUUUGAUACUGAAGAUCUUGAGUUCGGGAGAGGUGAGUGGAACUGCGAGUGUAGAGGUGAAAUUCGUAGAUAUUCGCAAGAACACCAGUGGCGAAGGCGGCUCACUGGCCCGAUACUGACGCUGAUGCACGAAAGCGUGGGGAGCAAACAGG
rnacentral:rRNA from 1 species